UACAAGUACAAAAAAAAAGGGAGAAAAAGAGGGAGAGGUACGUUUGUGUCGACAUCUAAACCUCUUCUCAAGGACCUCACGAAUGCAGCAUGUAUACAUAUGUUGACUUUAUUUUUGGGAAAAGGAACA